rnacentral:rRNA from 1 species
UGGGGAAUAUUGCACAAUGGGGGAAACCCUGAUGCAGCGACGCCGCGUGAACGAAGAAGGUAUUCGUAUCGUAAAGUUCUGUCCUAUGGGAAGAUAAUGACAGAACCAUAGAAGAAAGCUCCGGCUAAAUACGUGCCAGCAGCCGCGGUAAUACGUAUGGAGCGAGCGUUGUCCGGAAUUAUUGGGCGUAAAGGGUACGCAGGCGGUUUAAUAAGUCGAAUGUUAAAGAUCGGGGCUCAACCCCGUAAAGCAUUGGAAACUGAUAAACUUGAGUAGUGGAGAGGAAAGUGGAAUUCCUAGUGUAGUGGUGAAAUACGUAGAUAUUAGGAGGAAUACCAGUAGCGAAGGCGACUUUCUGGACACAAACUGACGCUGAGGUACGAAAGCGUGGGGAGCAAACAGG